GCUGCUGUGAGUUGACUUCAUGGACACCUCUGUGGAAAGCAGACUUGCUAAGUCACCAUUGGACUACCACGGUGGACUGAGUCUUUGAAAAGCCAAGUCAUCAUUCCAGUCUUCAGGACAGAUGAAAAAUCUCUAUACUUUUCCACCGUAGAAUCUAGGUAUAUGAUUAGGAACCUGGAUAUUCUGACUUCUGGGUCCCUUCCAGACUUCCUGAGUCUGAAUUUCUGAGUAACCAUAAGAAU
rnacentral:lncRNA from 1 species